rnacentral:rRNA from 1 species
UACGAAGGGUGCAAGCGUUACUCGGAAUCACUGGGCGUAAAGCGUGCGUAGGCGGUUGGUUAAGUCUGCUGUGAAAGCCCUGGGCUCAACCUGGGAACUGCAGUGAAUACUGGCCAGCUCGAGUGUGAUAGAGGAUGGUGGAAUUCCCGGUGUAGCGGUGAAAUGCGUAGAGAUCGGGAGGAACACCAGUGGCGAAGGCGGCCAUCUGGAUCAACACUGACGCUGAGGCACGAAAGCGUGGGGAGCAAACAGG